rnacentral:lncRNA from 1 species
GCUCUGAGCUCUGCUGUUGGGUGCUGUGAGAGGACCUCAGGGAAGCUCUGAUUUCGAGGCAUGGAUGCAGUGACUUAUGAUGAUGUGCAUGUGAACUUCACUGGGGAAGAGUGGAAUUUGCUGGAUCCUUCUCAGAAGAGUCUCUACAAAGAUGUAAUGCUGGAGACCUACUGGAACCUCACUGUUAUAGGCUACACUUGGGAAAACCAUCAUAUUGAAAGACAUUGUCAAAGUUCAAGAA